GGGUUAGUGGUCUAGUGGUAUGAUUUUCGCUUUGGGUGCGAGAGGUCCAGGGUUCGAUUCCAUGCUAACCCC
rnacentral:tRNA from 1 species